UAGACUAACAAACUGGCUACACAAACA
rnacentral:piRNA from 1 species